rnacentral:Y_RNA from 1 species
GGCUGAUCCAAUGGUAGAAGGUUAUCAGAAUUUAUUAACAUCAGUGUCACUAAAGUUGGUAUACAACCCCCCACUGCUAAAUUUGACUGGCUUUAA